rnacentral:misc_RNA from 1 species
GAUGAAGAACGCAGCGAAAUGCGAUAAGUAAUGUGAAUUGCAGAAUUCAGUGAAUCAUCGAAUCUUUGAACGCACAUUGCGCCCCUUGGUAUUCCGAGGGGCAUGCCUGUUCGAGCGUCAUUAUAACCCCUCAAGCUCAGCUUGGUGUUGGGGCCUGCUGCACUGGCAGCCCUUAAAAUCAGUGGCGGCGCGAUCUGGCUCUAAGCGUAGUAAUUCUUCUCGCUAUGGAGUCCUGGUGGAUGCUUGCCAUCAACCCCCAAUUUUUCUAUGGUUGACCUCGGAUCAGGUAGGGAUACCCGCUGAACUUAAGCAUAUCAAUAAGCGGAGGA